rnacentral:lncRNA from 13 species
UAAUUCUCCCUCUUCUUCCACACCUCCACUGUAAACCAAAAGACAGCAUGGCCAGCGAGUCCCAGCCCUUCAGAGAUUGCUCUACCUCGCUCCUGUUCAUGCCCAAGGAAGUCACUGUGCACAGCCCACGCUGAUGGAGGAGGCAUCCUCAACUUCCAUUUACUGAGUUUGGCAACUUUGCCUGUCACACCAACACAUUCCAAGUAUUCCCUAGAUCCAUGA